rfam:Schistosoma mattheei strain Denwood, Zambia genome assembly, scaffold: SMTD_scaffold0000317
AGCGUUCUGUAUCUGUGCUGAGAUUUCAUUGCAUACCAGACCACAAAGGCUGGUGAGACUCCCAAGAUAAGUGAAGCG